GAUGAACGCUGACAGAAUGCUUAACACAUGCAAGUCAACUUGAACUUCGGUUUGGGUGGCGGACGGGUGAGUAACGCGUAAAGAACUUGCCUCACAGAUAGGGACAACAUUUGGAAACGAAUGCUAAUACCUGAUAUUAUGAUUAUAUGGCAUCGUAUAAUUAUGAAAGCUAUAUGCGCUGUGAGAGAGCUUUGCGUCCCAUUAGCUAGUUGGAGAGGUAACGGCUCACCAAGGCGAUGAUGGGUAGCCGGCCUGAGAGGGUGAUCGGCCACAAGGGGACUGAGACACGGCCCUUACUCCUACGGGAGGCAGCAGUGGGGAAUAUUGGACAAUGGACCAAGAGUCUGAUCCAGCAAUUCUGUGUGCACGAUGAAGUUUUUCGGAAUGUAAAGUGCUUUCAGUUGGGAAGAAAAAAAUGACGGUACCAACAGAAGAAGUGACGGCUAAAUACGUGCCAGCAGCCGCGGUAGUACGUAUGUCACAAGCGUUAUCCGGAUUUAUUGGGCGUAAAGCGCGUCUAGGUGGUUAUGUAAGUCUGAUGUGAAAAUGCAGGGCUCAACUCUGUAUUGCGUUGGAAACUGUAUAACUAGAGUACUGGAGAGGUAAGCGGAACUACAAGUGUAGAGGUGAAAUUCGUAGAUAUUUGUAGGAAUGCCGAUGGGGAAGCCAGCUUACUGGACAGAUACUGACGCUGAAGCGCGAAAGCGUGGGUAGCAAACAGG
rnacentral:rRNA from 1 species